UACGUAGGGUGCGAGCGUUGUCCGGAAUUAUUGGGCGUAAAGAGCUCGUAGGCGGUUUGUCGCGUCGACUGUGAAAACCCGAGGCUUAACCUCGGGCCUGCAGUCGAUACGGGCAGACUAGAGUUCGGUAGGGGAGACUGGAAUUCCUGGUGUAGCGGUGAAAUGCGCAGAUAUCAGGAGGAACACCGGUGGCGAAAGCGUUCUGCUAGACCUGUACUGACACUGAGGGACGAAAGCUAGGGGAGCGAAUGGG
rnacentral:rRNA from 1 species